AUUGAACGCUGGCGGCAGGCCUAACACAUGCAAGUCGAGCGGAUGAAGGGAGCUUGCUCCUGGAUUCAGCGGCGGACGGGUGAGUAAUGCCUAGGAAUCUGCCUGGUAGUGGGGGAUAACGUCCGGAAACGGGCGCUAAUACCGCAUACGUCCUGAGGGAGAAAGUGGGGGAUCUUCGGACCUCACGCUAUCAGAUGAGCCUAGGUCGGAUUAGCUAGUUGGUGGGGUAAAGGUCUACCAAGGCGACGGUCCGUAACUGGUCUGAGAGGAUGAUCAGUCACACUGGAACUGAGACACGGUCCAGACUCCUACGGGAGGCAGCAGUGGGGAAUAUUGGACAAUGGGCGAAAGCCUGAUCCAGCCAUGCCGCGUGUGUGAAGAAGGUCUUCGGAUUGUAAAGCACUUUAAGUUGGGAGGAAGGGCAGUAAGUUAAUACCUUGCUGUUUUGACGUUACCAACAGAAUAAGCACCGGCUACCUUCGU
rnacentral:rRNA from 1 species